rnacentral:rRNA from 1 species
UACAGAGGGGGCAAGCGUUGUUCGGAAUUACUGGGCGUAAAGGGCGCGUAGGCGGCCUGCUAAGUCGAACGUGAAAUCCCUGGGCUCAACCCAGGAACUGCGUCCGAUACUGGUUGGCUUGAAUCCGGGAGAGGGACGUGGAAUUCCAGGUGUAGCGGUGAAAAUGCGUAGAUAUCUGGAGGAACACCGGUGGCGAAGGCGACGUCCUGGACCCGGCAUUGACGCUGAGGCGCGAAAGCCAGGGGAGCAAACGGG